rnacentral:lncRNA from 1 species
UCAAAAGGAAGUAGCCUCUUACGAGUUGUCCUUGUACGAGUGUCCUUUAUUGGAGCAUUUAUUCGAGGGUUACUCAAGUAUAGUAAGAUAAUAGUCAAGAAAAUGAUCAAUUUCUAACCAAAAACACAAAAAUCUGUUUUUCUUAACAGAAAAUCUGAUCGAAAAGAACUGAAAAUACUAAAAGGAUAUGUGAGAGACUGGUAUCAGUGUGAGGAUCAUAAAUUCUGACAGGCUUGAUGUUAUCUAACAUGAUUUCCAAUCCUCUAUCCACCAUGUAAUCAAAGGAAUCUAUGUGGUGCCUCACUAGCUCUUCCAGCUC